rfam:Glossina fuscipes fuscipes unplaced genomic scaffold Scaffold88, whole genome shotgun sequence.
AAGUUACUUUUUAACGCGAAUUAAAAAAAAAACAUAUAAAAUAAGUAUAAAAAUUGGUAGACGAAGUGUGUGUGGGGGGUAGUUUUUAGUACCUAUGCGCCAGGGAUGGCGAAUCGUGCAUGCUGCUACUAAGACCCAGCAGUAUCUUUCGAAGAUUUUCUACCUCCAGCUCAC